AGGUGUUGAAAUCCAAAUUCUGCAAAGCAAGAUCUACAUUUUGCAUAUCCAUAGGUAGCUAUUACAGUUUGUCUUUUCAUCAUAAGACUGACUGUUCAAGGAGCAAUAUGUAUUUGAGAUUGUCAUGUUUAUCUUUUUUCACCAAAUAACAAUGGAUGCUGUAGAGCUGCUCUCUGUAUUUAACUAAUGCAAGCAUUGAGAUCCAGAUACUGCAAGGCCUACUUUUGGAAUUGGGGCAUUGGUUGCAAGACUCGCCCCACCAUCAUUCAGCUGUAUGAGAGCAAACAAGGAUCUGCAUUUUGCUAGCCGUACUGAAGACUUAAUUGAAAAAGGUAUUCCAGUAAAUGACUGCAUCAUAAGGCUGACUCUUCAAGGAGUGAUAAACUGUUGAAGUUGAAAUGGUAUAAAUGGGAACCAAUUGAAAUGGCUGCUCUUCCUUGGAUGAACUAAGGUAAAAUGUCAGUUUGUAUUUCUGGAAGUAGAUUGUGACAGUGGGAUUUGGUGGGCAGCAAUAAUACUGUGUUUCAUGUGAUGUUUCUUAUUACUUUCGUUCUCCUGAUAGUGCUUGAUGUCAAAAUGACCACUGAUAAUGCUAGAAUCAAAGCACAUGAAGUUGUAGCAGCAGUUUUGGUUUCAUAAUUUAUUGCUCUU